AUUGAACGCUGGCGGCAGGCCUAACACAUGCAAGUCGAACGGCAGCACGGCAGUAGCAAUACUGUGGGUGGCGAGUGGCGGACGGGUGAGGAAUACAUCGGGAUCUACCCUGUUGUGGGGGAUAACGUAGGGAAACUUACGCUAAUACCGCAUAAGAACUGAGGUUGAAAGCGGCGGACCGCAAGGCGUCGCGCGAUUGGAUGAACCGAUGUCCGAUUAGCUAGUUGGCGGGGUAAAGGCCCACCAAGGCGACGAUCGGUAGCUGGUCUGAGAGGACGACCAGCCACACUGGAACUGAGACACGGUCCGGACUCCUACGGGAGGCGGCAGUGGGGGAAUAUUGGACAAAUGGGCGCAAGCCUGAUCCAGCCAUGCCGCGUGCGGGAAGAA
rnacentral:rRNA from 1 species